rnacentral:rRNA from 1 species
AGAUUGAACGCUGGCGGCAUGCCUUACACAUGCAAGUCGAACGGCAGCACGGGGGCAACCCUGGUGGCGAGUGGCGAACGGGUGAGUAACAUAUCGGAACGUGCCCUGGAGUGGGGGAUAACUAGUCGAAAGACUAGCUAAUACCGCAUACGAUCUACGGAUGAAAGUGGGGGAUCGCAAGACCUCAUGCUCGUGGAGCGGCCGAUAUCUGAUUAGCUAGUUGGUGGGUAAAGGCCUACCAAGGCAUCGAUCAGUAGCUGGUCUGAGAGGACGACCAGCCACACUGGGACUGAGACACGGCCCAGACUCCUACGGGAGGCAGCAGUGGGGAAUUUUGGACAAGUGGGCGCAAGCCCUAGAUCCAGCAAUGCCGCGUGAGUGAAGAAGGCCUUCGGUGUAAGCUCUUUGUCAGGAAGAAACGGUUCUGGCUAAUAUCUGGAGCUAAUGACGUACCUAGAAGAAUAAGACACCGGCUAAC